rnacentral:lncRNA from 1 species
ACACUUAUCAGGAGUGGUCAUGAUCCUGGUAUGCUGUGAAUGUGGUUGUACUUUGGAUAGGUCAGCGGGUGGCACCAGAGAGCAGGGGGAGCCGAGUCACCAGCCUAACCAGUACCAUUAAAACCAGCAUCACCAGCCAAACCAAUACCAGCAGAACCAGUAUCCUUACCAGAACUACUACCGCAGCCUCCUGCCCUGAGGCCCAGCUCAGGAUCCAAGUGGACCAGAGAUGUGUUGCUGAUGAUCCUCACCAAGUUUCUGGGCCGAUUCAUCACACUGCAGCAGUACAGCCAGUUGCUGCUCCGGUUAGUACAUCAACCAAUUUUAAUAAAUAUCACAUUUUAGUAGUAUAGUGCAUUCAAAUGCAUUUGUUGCAAAGUGCUGGGUAAAGGAGUCAGCAAGGUUGACAGUAUAAAGAAAAAACAUAAUAGAAGUCUUAACUCUAUAGGGCGGCAGGUAGUGUUGGGGCAGUAACUGAAAGGUCGCUGGUUCGAAUACACCAACUGACACG